rnacentral:lncRNA from 10 species
GCUGAGUUUGUGGCGCGCUUAGUGAUGGGAUGGCCCUGUGCAGGACGCCGACACGAAAAGAUGAAGAGUUCAAUCCGUGCUGUCUGAACUCACAGUGUAGCAGGCGAGAUAGACGGGAAGAUCGGUAGGGUGGGAGAUGCCGGAAAGGCUUCCCGUGAGACUGGAUAAGAAAUCAAAAAUCUGGUGAAAUUGCCGGCAAGAGGGAGUUAAGGACAUUCCAGGCAGAGGCAAGCCACAUAAUAUUACCUUUGGCUGAUGAUCUAUUCUGUAGGAAGUCUGCUGGAACUGGCGUAUCUCUCUGAUGAUGUGUGAUAUCUAACAGAGAAAAAAACAAAACAAAAUGACAACAACAAAAGCAAAGAAAGUCAUAGCCUGUGUUUUCUAGAGGGCAUGGUUCAGAAUUCUUUCCCUUCAGAUGUGGAGGCCUCUGCACUUCUGGUUCAGUUCCAAUAGAGAAAAGAUUUGCUUCUAGUCUUCUGGCGAUGCUUGGGCAUUGAUGAACAUUCCAGGAUCCUGGGUUCCCCACCACCAUCACUACCACGUCUAUCAGCAGUAUCACCAGUUUAAUAAUUGUGCAUUUAUAAUGACACACCAAAUAAAAGGAA